CAUAAUCAUUAGUUUUUUAAUUGAAAACUUGUAUGAAUGGUUGAACAAAAGAAUUACUGUCUUUUUUUAAUAGUUUGAAUUUAACUUCUGAGUGAAAAGGCUUAGAUUUGUUAAGGGGACGAUAAGACCCUAUAAAGCUUUAUCAAUGAUUAAAAUCUUCUAGAGUUAAUAAUAAAUAAAGAUUUUUAUUAUUUAUUUUGUUGGGGCGACAUAGAUAUAAAUAAGCAUAACUGUUAAUGAAAUAAACAAUGUCUUUGAGUAGUAAUUGAUCCUUGAUUUAAGAUUAAAAGACAAAGUUACUUUAGGGAUAACAGCGUUAUUCUUUUUGAGAGUUCUAAUCGAAAAAAGAGUUUGCGACCUCGAUGUUGAAUCAUAAAAUCUUUACAGUGAAGCCGUUGUAAGAG
rnacentral:rRNA from 1 species